rnacentral:rRNA from 1 species
AUACGGAGGAUGCAAGCGUUAUCCGGAUUUAUUGGGCGUAAAGCGAGCGCAGGCGGUUUCUUAAGUCUGAUGUGAAAGCCCCCGGCUCAACCGGGGAGGGUCAUUGGAAACUGGGAGACUUGAGUGCAGAAGAGGAGAGUGGAAUUCCAUGUGUAGCGGUGAAAUGCGUAGAUAUAUGGAGGAACACCAGUGGCGAAGGCGACUCUCUGGUCUGUAACUGACGCUGAGGCUCGAAAGCGUGGGGAGCAAACAGGAUUAGAUACCCUGGUAGUCCACGCCGUAAACGAUGAGUGCUAAGUGUUGGAGGGUUUCCGCCCUUCAGUGCUGCAGCUAACGCAUUAAGCACUCCGCCUGGGGAGUACGACCGCAAGGUUGAAACUCAAAGGAAUUGACGGGG